AUAACAAACGUGAAAAGGACAUGGCACGCGCACAAGACGCACAGUUCGUCGCGGAAUAUUGCAUAAUUUCAUUUUAAUCAUGGUGCUCCAAAAAUUAAUUUGCUUACCAAGUUGCUGAAGAUUCAUCUGCGUCUCGACCGCUUCAGCACCGUCACCAAAGAUAAACGAUUUUGUUGGAAGCUGCCGGAUGGAGCUGCGACCGGGACGAGCUGUUUGACCAACUUGGUGGAAGCUCAACGGAUUCAAUUUGACCACUUUCACCAAAGUGGAAGACGACGCGGAGGCAUCGGAAAAAAGCUCGAGCACACCAAUAGAACCAAUAGAACCGACCUUGAUGCACUCGAUGCGUGCCUUCUAUCAAACCCGGAAUUGAGCGUUUCAACUGAAAAUCAAUCUUUUUGGCCCGUCGUAACUGCAACUGUGACAACUGCAUGGACUGCGGUAUCAGCGGAGCUCCUUCUUCCAUCCAAGCUUCCAUCAUCUUCGUCGGCCGUGGCAUCGGAAAAUAUCCCAGACCAUCAUUUGCGUUAGGUAGUGGCAUUUGCGAUGUGAAAUGUCCAGCUGUGAACAUUGCUCAUGCAGCAACAUUGUUCAGUCCACGUGGCCUAGAACUACUCCAGUGUACAAUAAAAAAAAAUAACAAAACUUAUUUUUUUAAUCAUAUUAUUCAAAAUUUUAAUUUAUUGUUAUUUUAAAGCCAAUUCCCAAUGAAAAUAAUCUUAUUAUUCCCAUUAAUAGGAACUAUGUGCCUCACAACUGAAAUCUGAUCAACUGACUUUUAAAAAGUAAAAGGUUCGCACAUAAAAUCCAUCUUGACUGAGUUGGCAAAGUUUCGAUAAGCCUGCACUUAUUUUUUAAGUGCAAAAUCAAUUGGUCACAAUCCAAGUGCAAGAAACUUAUAUUCAAUAGGUUAAUUAAUCUG